rnacentral:rRNA from 1 species
GAUGAACGCUAGCUACAGGCUUAACACAUGCAAGUCGAGGGGUAGCAGGGUAGCAAUACCGCUGACGACCGGCGCACGGGUGAGUAACACGUAUCCAACCUUCCCCUAACUCGGGGAUAGCUGUUUGAAAGAAAGUUUCAUACCCGAUAGUACUUUUUCAAGGCAUCUUGAGAAAGUUAAAGAUUUAUUGGUUAUGGAUGGGGAUGCGUUCCAUCAGAUAGAUGGUGAGGUAACGGCUCACCAAGUCUUCGAUGGAUAGGGGUUCUGAGAGGAAGGUCCCCCACAUUGGUACUGAGAAACGGACCAAACUCCUACGGGAGGCAGCAGUGAGGAAUAUUGGUCAAUGGGCGAGAGCCUGAACCAGCCAAGUAGCGUGAAGGAUGAAGGUCUUAUGGAUUGUAAACUUCUUUUAUAGUAGAAUAAAGUGAUCCACGUGUGGAUUUUUGUAUGUAUACUAUGAAUAAGGAUCGGCUAACUCCGUGCCAGCAGCCGCCGUAA